CGUAUAAACGGUUAUAAAAGCCGUAACGGUAAACUUAGAUAAAAUGUUACGAGCGGGAAUAAUAACUUUAUAGAUUUUUGAUGCAAGUGGAAAAUUUAGUAUAAAUUUAGUUAAAAAACUGAUUAUUUUGAAGUUCAUAUAAAAAUGGGUAGAACAGCUAAAAAAAAGAAGAUGAUAGUAUAGAAUAAGAAAAAACGAAAAAAUACAGAAAGGUUGAGAUAUAUUUUCCCACUGAGGAAUUUACCUCAGAGACAGCUUCCAUCUAAUGGUGAUGUUCUAAAAUACUAUCAAUUUAUCCUUCGCGAGUCAUAGGUUAAAUACAAACCCACUUCUACUAAUAUUGGUUGCAAAUGGAAAUCGAAAUCCCAGGAUCUUGUUUGUGAAAGUGGUGUUUGUACAGAUCCUGAUAAUUCUUGCUUGGUAACUGGGAUUAAAAAAUUUACAAUAAUGCUGGGUUUGGCAAAAAAUUUGCGAUUUCUGGGUACAAUAUAAAAACCGAAAUCAUUAAACUUAAUUUAAAAUACAAGAAAUUGAUUAAAUUGUCUUCUCUAAACUGAAGCAGCAGCCUUGAUAAGAAAUCAAAGUUAGAGAAAGGUUUUCUCACAGAAUCUUAUCAGAUUUAUGACAUCUCAACUAAGGAUUUUGAAAAAAUAUUCUGCUGAUAGAUUGAGAACAGAUGAUGUCAAGCUGGAAGAAAUAAAUUUUUAUGAAGACCAGAAGUUGAAUAGGAAAGGAUAUAUGGCAACAAAAGUCGAUGAAGACUACAAUAGGAGAGUACUGGAUGCAAACAGGAGAAAUAACAAGCUAGAUAAAUUGAGAGAGAAAGAAUUAGAGAGACAGAAAAACUUAAAAGAUAUCAAUGAACUUUUAUUUUCACAUGACUCCAUGACAGAAGAGAUUCAAUAGGGAGGAAGAAGAUUUUCUGGGUAACGGUCGGAAACGCAGAGAUAUGAUAAAUCUAGCAGUGAAUGUUGAAAAGCUCAUUGAAUGUACUGCUAUUCCAGCAACAAGGUUCAAUGUUGGUGUACGACAUCAUCUGGCAAUUUUAAGUAAAGUAUUUAAAGCUGGAGGUAUAGAAAUUAAUAAUAUACCGUUUUUACGAAGCACACUUCUUAGAAAAAAGUUCAAAUAUGUAGAACUUGAAGGAGACUUGGAGUGGAUUUCAAUAACUAAUCAUCUUAAAGAGCGACGGCAUUUUCUUCAUUUUGAUACCAAACUGUUGGAAAAAAUUACCACUUGGCUUAACAUUCUUCAAAAAACUGUGCAACUUGCAGUCUCAGGGAGUUCCCCGGAUGACAAUACCAUGGAAGACCAUCUUUUAGAUGUUGUUCAAUGUCCCUCUUCAAAGAGAGUUGAUCCUCUUUAAAGGAAGAUGACUAAGCAGAACAAGUGCACAAUCUUUUAGAAUAUUAUAGAUGUAAAGAGCAGAUCAUUGGUAUAUGCUGUGAUAAAACUGCAAGCAAUACAGGCGGAGUCAAUGGAGCAGUCCAAAUUCUUACAGAUAUUUUAAAAUUACUAAUCUUUUGGAUAGUGUGUAGAAGACAUAUGUAUAAAGUACAUGUAUCUCACUAUAUGGCUGCUCUUAGUGGUGAAAAAACUAAAGGUCCAAGAAGAGCUCUUUAUGUCAAGCUAAAGAACAAGUGGCCUGAAAUCUUUGAGAAAGUUAAUGAAGUGAAAAAUUUAUGUAAAAUGGACUGGCAAAGAGAAGAUCUGAAGAUUAGCUCUGUUCUUCACACUGUUGCAGAGGAAGCUUAAACAUUUUUGACUAAUGCAACUACUGAUAUAGUGUUUUCAAAGAAUGAUUAUGGUAUAGUUUGUAAGCUUGCCUCCUUCUUCCUUGGUCUGAAAGUACAAGAUUUUAAGUUCCACCAACCUGGCGCCUAACACGAGGUUAAAGCAUGGUUUUUAGCAGAUGCAAUUUAAUUCUGACUCUUUAUAUGACUAAAGAUAUCAGUAAUAAGGACCGGCGAAUAUUCUUUAAAAUUUAGAUUACUGAAAGGCGAUGCUGACAUCGGCUUUGACUUCGGUGCCGAAGUUAAAAUAGAAAUUCGGCUUUCAGUUGAAUUU
rnacentral:lncRNA from 1 species